rnacentral:lncRNA from 1 species
AACAGAGAUCUCUACCUAUAACCAGGCUGGAGGUGUAUUGCACUCUCAAUACUUUCUCAUUAAAUUCACCUUUAUCGACUUUCUUAAAGUAACUUUGUCUUAAGCAAGCUUUGCUCUUUCUUAACGUCUUUCUUAUUUCCUUGCAGCUCAUCAUAUCACCGAACUGAGUUCUUUUUCCUCUAAGAAAAAAUUUCAGUGCAAUUCAGAAGUCUUCAUAACAUAGUAAUCUAUAGCUAAUUCAGAGGUGCCAUGCCCUGCCACCCCUAUAAAGAGACUUCAACUAGUUCAUUCGGCUCCCGAAGAGUUCUAGAGCCACCAUAAAAGAUGAGGAGGGAUGACAUAGCCCCAGAGCCAGAGAUGGAGAAAGAGAAAGGCCAAGUUGUGGGGUGGAGAAUACAGUGAAUUCCCUAUCUGACCUUGCU